UAAAUGAGAAAAUAAAAAUUUAAUUACAAAAUACAAACAGUACAAAAUACCAAAAUGGGACCUAGUGUCCUACCAAUGCAGUGUAGUCUGUGAGGUGACACGGAUACUAUGUAGAUCUAUAUACAAGUCUCACCCAGUCUGUGAUCUAUUGGGCUCUCUGUCAGUCUCUCUAGAACCUACGCGUGGCAAAAAGCAAUGCGCUAAGCAAUACAGCUUAGUGGUGCCAAUAAUAAAAUAAAAAGAACUAAAAAGAAAAUAAAUAUGCAGUGUAUAUGCUGCUUUCUCAUACAGACAAUUUAUUUGUAAUAUUAUUCAUAUGGCAUUGUUUAUAUUAGAUUUUUUCUUUUUACUUAAAUUUAUCCAUUUCCAUUUUGGUUGCCCAAGUAACCUAUACUGGAUGACUGGACUAGAUAAACAGGUAAACUAGCACUGGAUACCAAGUACCUCGGGCCGUCACACCAUCGGUCACAAUGUGUCUCCCGAUGUGCAACGGAACAGCUAAUAAGCUGUAAUAAACAUUGGGCACAAAGCCAAGUAUCACAUUGAAAUCAGAAUGGCUCAAAGCUAUAAAAUCACAGAAUGGCAUAAUGCCAUGCACAGUACUGCUAACUGAACCCUAUUGGCAUGCCAACCUAUCCAAACCAAUCUUACUAGGUGUACUAGGGCACAUUAUAAAGUUAUUUCUUAAAUAUUUGUACUUAACAUGUAAGAUUACUAUUCAUUUAGUCAUUUAAGUCAAAAUAUUGACUUUCUCAUAUAUAAUGGUUACAUAAGUUUUAAUCACAUAGAUUUACCACAUUUUGGCUCCCAAAAGUAUUGGCAUUAGUUGCCAAUCAUUGCUUCUAACCAAUGAAGAAUAAAUCAGAAAUUUCAGUUUUGGGUGCUAGAGUUCACUGUUCCAUUAGGCCAUUCUACAGAGAGAAUUUGGCCAAAUGUUCUUCAUGAAAGUUGUUCAUUAUUGUGUCUAGUUACAUUUCACUUUUUGAAUCACCCCAUUUGAAGUUUUCUAGCUCAAGUUAUGGUUAUUUCACUAUAACUGGUCGGAUUAUCUUUACCCAGAAUUUCUGGGCAAUUUUGGUUCUGCCAGAUUUGGUAGUUCAACUUUAGCUAGCAAUUUUAAUUAGUUAAGUCUAGAAUUUGAGUUUGUAUUCUACAUGAAAGUUGUUCUAAUUUGUCUAAGCUUUCCAUUGAUAUAAAUUUCAGGUCAAUUGGACCUUUCUACCCUAAGUUAUGACCAAAUGAAUGAACAUUGUUCAUUUGGUCAUUUUGCACAGGCAGAAUUGGUGCUACCCGAAUUUGGUCAAUUUUUAGGGCAUCAUAAGUUUGUUUUUUGGACAGAGUUCCUUCAUCAAAGUUGUGCCAUUAUGUGUCUAAUUUCAUGUCCAAUUGGCCUUGCACCAAUUGAACUUACACAACUCAAGUUAUAGCUGCCCAAAUUUGCUGGACUCCCAUCCAGACCUGCAGGUCACCCAAGGCAGCACACCUAACCUCAAUUCCAUUGGUGUCAUUCACUCAAUUUCCUACUCCAACAUGACCAAAUGGUCACUAAUUGACUAUUACAACUUCUUUUCAUCAAUACAUAAACAAAAUCCCAAUUUUGGUGCCCAAACCCUAACUCCAACAACUACAAUUCUUUAUAUACAUACAAUCAAUGAAUUAAAACACCAAAAUCAUGUUCAAUGGCAGCCAUACACAACUAUUAUACAAUCAAAUUGAUGAAACCCUAAGGUACCCUAAUGCUGCCGAAAUUUCAUGGGGCAAGUUCAUACAUCUUUAAUUCAUUUUUCAUCAAAUUUUCAACUUAACUCAACUUAGAUUAAUGCUUAGAAAAGAGUGGAAGCAAGAAAAUUGGCACUAACCUCUUGGAUGAAUUUCUAACCUUCACUUUCCUUCACUUUCUCCUCUUCUAAUGGCUGCCCAAGUUUAGCUCUAGUGGUAAGGGAAAUUUUUAAUGAAAGGAAAUCAAGGUUUUGAAGUGAAUUGGGUGAGAAAUUGGAAGAAUGGUUGAGUUUUAAUGGAGGGAGGGAGAGGGGACUGGUUCGGCUGGUUGAAGAAAAAAGAUGAAAACUGAUUUGUUUUUCUUUAAUUUCUGCCUAUUUACUUAUUUUAAGUGGUUUAUGGACAUGUGUCACAAUGUGAUUGGAUAAAAAUGUUUUAAUGACAUCAUAAUUAGGUUUAAAACUCUUUUUCUUUCUUUUCUUUUCUACUUAAUUUCAAAUCAAUUUUUAACAAUAUUUAUUCACAUUUUAUGUUAAAAUAAUUAUUUACUUAAUUGGACAAGUCGGUCAAAAAUCAUCCCUGAAGACGAAAUGAUCAAAAUGCCCUCCAUUUGGCUUAUUGAGCCAAAAUCGUCUGUACCGAUCUAAAAAAUUUUCUAAGCAUUUUCUUAAUAUUUUAAUGCCAUCGAAACCUCAAUGACUCUCUUCUCUAGAGUCUCAAAAAUUAUUUCAUGAAUUUUCUCUCGGGUUUAGGGCUUUUAGCUGUGAAUACCGCAACUUCCCACUGGGUUACACAUCGCUAGGGCACUGGCUCAUUUAACUUGAUUGUCUUUUAUUUUUAAAAUUUUUCCUAAAUUUUUCUUAUUAUUAUUUGAGUUAUUUAUGACUCUUCGCUCUAGUCUAAAUAUUUUUUUCCAGACGUUCUAGCUGUCUGGACCGACACCGGUCACUAGAAUAGUAGAAUAUACGAAAUUGCUACAGUGAGGGUGUUACAUAUUGUAGUUGGGGUGGAUGUUGUUUGUUGUUGAGAAUAUAUGAAGUGCUUUUAACAGGUGCAAUUAAUGCCUAAUAACUAGGCUGGAUUGUCCAAAAUUAAGAGGAAAUGCUGUCAAUUUUUUUUUAAAUAUUAUCAUACUAAUACAACUGUCUUAAUUUUUAUUUGUUUUACAACAGAAAUACUUUGAUUGGCAAGAGGUGACUCCACUCAUAAAGGAAGCUUGGAGGCGUAAGGCUGCAGAGCGCUACAAGGCUCUAAUGUGCAAUGUCAGAAAAGCAAAAUCCAAGGUCAUCAUGCCUGAUAGUACAAUGCAAAAAUGGAAGGAGGCAUGGAGUAGCCCAGAGUUUAAAGCCAAGAGCCAUCAAUUCACUGCUAACCACUGUAGUGAGAUAGGGGGAGUUGGGGCAGGCAUCUCUAAACAUACAGGGGGUUCAGUUUCACAUGCUACUCAUGUAGAUAGAAUGGAGGCCCAGCUUGACCGAAGACCUUUUCCUUAUGAACUUUUUCAUAAGACCCACACUAGGAAGGGCACCUCUGAUAUGGUUGAUGCACUAGCGUAAUCAAUUAAGGAGCAGUCGUCUCAACCACAAGAGGGGUGCAGUGACCCUCCUACUAUAGAUGAAGUCGCACUAUAUUAUCAAGUUAUUGGGGGGGGGGGGGAGAAGAAGAAUAGGGUUUAUGGCAUUGGAUACCAAGCAUCAAUUUUCUACCCUAACUGAUCACAUGGAUCAUCUUCUACUGCAUCCUAUCGCGCUCAGUCGGAGGCAAUGGAGGAAGAGAUUGAACAAUUGCAUCAGACUAUUGCAACACUCAAGGAUAGUUUGGCUGCAAUGGACGAGAGAGACUGACAAUGCGAGCUGAUGCUGGAGGAGAGAUACUGACAAUGUGAGCAGACACUAGAGGAGCGCAUGCAAUAAAUGAUGUAAAACAUGAUGGCGCAAAUGAUGCAGGGUACGCAGUUUACAGCCCCAACUCCAGAUGCGACUCAUUAGGACGAUGGUAGAGAGGCCGAUAGUGGCGAUGAGUGAUGAUCUUGUUGAUCACAAGUAGCUUGUUUUUUUGUUAUUAUGAUAUUUUAUAUUUUCAUAUAGUACAUUAUUGUCAUAACCCUUCACUGUCAUAUUUAUAUAUAAUAUUGACUGA